rnacentral:rRNA from 1 species
AGACAGCAGUCGCCGCGGUAAUACGAGGGGAGCUAGCGUUGUUCGGAAUUACUGGGCGUAAAGCGCGCGUAGGCGGCUUUUUAAGUCAGAGGUGAAAGCCCGGGGCUCAACCCCGGAAUUGCCUUUGAAACUGGAAAGCUAGAAUCUUGGAGAGGUCAGUGGAAUUCCGAGUGUAGAGGUGAAAUUCGUAGAUAUACGGAAGAACACCAGUGGCGAAGGCGACUGACUGGACAAGUAUUGACGCUGAGGUGCGAAAGCGUGGGGAGCAAACAGGAUUAGAUACCCCUGUAGUCCCUGUCUCUUAUAC